rnacentral:rRNA from 1 species
AACGAACGCUGGCGGCAGGCCUAACACAUGCAAGUCGAGCGCCCCGCAAGGGGAGCGGCAGACGGGUGAGUAACGCGUGGGAAUCUGCCUGAUGGUACGGAAUAGCCCAGGGAAACUUGGAGUAAUACCGUAUAAGCCCGCAAGGGGAAAGAUUUAUCGCCAUCAGAUGAGCCCGCGUUGGAUUAGCUAGUUGGUGGGGUAACGGCUCACCAAGGCGACGAUCCAUAGCUGGUCUGAGAGGAUGAUCAGCCACACUGGGACUGAGACACGGCCCAGACUCCUACGGGAGGCAGCAGUGGGGAAUAUUGGACAAUGGGCGCAAGCCUGAUCCAGCCAUGCCGCGUGAGUGACGAAGGUCUUCGGAUUGUAAAGCUCUUUUGGCGGGGACGAUAAUGACGGUACCCGCAGAAUAAGCCCCGGCUAACUUCGUGCCAGCCGCCGCCGUAAAAC